UCUGUGAGCCUUUACAAAAUGUAAACAGGAGCAAAUAUGAUGAUUGUCAUGAAGCUGCAUGAUCGUUUGACUACAAUCACACUCAUUCUGUCGCCAGUAUGUGUGCUGAGAAUUAUGCUGUAAUUUUGUCUUUAUGUACAAAUCCACAGUCUUUAUGUGCAAAUACACAUUAUGUCUGUAGUAGUAAGAAUUUUGUGACUUAAUUAAGGGGUCAGAGAGAGAGAGAGAGAGAGAGAGAGGAAAGUCAUGUAAAAUGAAAUUGUUUUACAUAUAGAAAACUGUAUGAAGUGUAUGGCCCCUUUAACGUUAUAGGUUAAAAUGAGUAACUUUCUCUCACCACUGUUGUUGUUUCCUUGUGUAAAUGCCUGCCAGCUUCAGAACUCACUGUGCCAGACUUUCCCUUCAUGACCAGGUCCUCUGAACAGAAGGCCAUGACAGUACAGCAUGUGCACGUACACGCUCACAGACAGUUACACAAAUAGUGAAGUGGUUUAUGAAAAGGGAAGAUGAGUCCGCACGCAAGCAAAGGAACACACACAUCUGCUGAAUGUGUCAGCGGGAGCAGGGAUUCUGGGUAGAGACCAUUUCCAUGUGCAACCAGUUUCCUGCAUAGCUGUGCUAUUUUGAUGUUUCUCCUGUCACUCCAUGAUCUCUUUU